rnacentral:rRNA from 1 species
UAACACGUGAGUAACCUGCCCCUGACUCUGGGAUAAGCGUUGGAAACGACGUCUAAUACUGGAUAUGAUCACUGGCCGCAUGGUCUGGUGGUGGAAAGAUUUUUUGGUUGGGGAUGGACUCGCGGCCUAUCAGCUUGUUGGUGAGGUAAUGGCUCACCAAGGCGACGACGGGUAGCCGGCCUGAGAGGGUGACCGGCCACACUGGGACUGAGACACGGCCCAGACUCCUACGGGAGGCAGCAGUGGGGAAUAUUGCACAAUGGGCGAAAGCCUGAUGCAGCAACGCCGCGUGAGGGAUGACGGCCUUCGGGUUGUAAACCUCUUUUAGUAGGGAAGAAGCGAAAGUGACGGUACCUGCAGAAAAAGCACCGGCUAACUACGUGCCAGCAGCCGCGGUAAUACGUAGGGUGCAAGCGUUGUCCGGAAUUAUUGGGCGUAAAGAGCUCGUAGGCGGUUUGUCGCGUCUGCUGUGAAAUCCCGAGGCUCAACCUCGGGCUUGCAGUGGGUACGGGCAGACUAGAGUGCGGUAGGGGAGAUUGGAAUUCCUGGUGUAGCGGUGGAAUGCGCAGAUAUCAGGAGGAACACCGAUGGCGAAGGCAGAUCUCUGGGCCGUAACUGACGCUGAGGAGCGAAAGCAUGGGGAGCGAACAGGAUUAGAUACCCUGGUAGUCCAUGCCGUAAACGUUGGGCGCUAGAUGUAGGGACCUUUCCACGGUUUCUGUGUCGUAGCUAACGCAUUAAGCGCCCCGCCUGGGGAGUACGGCCGCAAGGCUAAAACUCAAAGGAAUUGACGGGGGCCCGCACAAGCGGCGGAGCAUGCGGAUUAAUUCGAUGCAACGCGAAGAACCUUACCAAGGCUUGACAUACACCGGAAACGGCCAGAGAUGGUCGCCCCCUUGUGGUCGGUGUACAGGUGGUGCAUGGUUGUCGUCAGCUCGUGUCGUGAGAUGUUGGGUUAAGUCCCGCAACGAGCGCAACCCUCGUUCUAUGUUGCCAGCGGGUUAUGCCGGGGACUCAUAGGAGACUGCCGGGGUCAACUCGGAGGAAGGUGGGGAUGACGUCAAAUCAUCAUGCCCCUUAUGUCUUGGGCUUCACGCAUGCUACAAUGGCCGGUACAAAGGGCUGCGAUACCGUAAGGUGGAGCGAAUCCCAAAAAGCCGGUCUCAGUUCGGAUUGAGGUCUGCAACUCGACCUCAUGAAGUCGGAGUCGCUAGUAAUCGCAGAUCAGCAACGCUGCGGUGAAUACGUUCCCGGGCCUUGUACACACCGCCCGUCA